GAGUUGAUCAUGGCUCAGAAUCAACGCUGGCGGCGUGCCUAACACAUGCAAGUCGAACGCGAAAGUCCCGCAAGGGAUGAGUAGAGUGGCAAACGGGUGAGUAACACGUGGGUGACCUGCCUUCGAGUGGGGGAUAACGUCCCGAAAGGGACGCUAAUACCGCAUAACAUGCUGUCUUUUAAGAGAGAGACAUCAAAGCCGGGGACCGCAAGGCCUGGCGCUUGAAGAGGGGCCCGCGCCUGAUUAGCUAGUUGGUGGGGUAAUGGCUCACCAAGGCAACGAUCAGUAUCCGGCCUGAGAGGGCGGACGGACACACUGGGACUGAGACACGGCCCAGACUCCUACGGGAGGCAGCAGUGGGGAAUUGUUCGCAAUGGGCGCAAGCCUGACGACGCAACGCCGCGUGGAGGAUGAAGAUCUUCGGGUCGUAAACUCCUUUCGAUCGAGACGAAUGGCCCUCGGGUUAACAGCCUGAGGGAAUGACGGUACCGAGAGAAGAAGCCCCGGCUAACUCCGUGCCAGCAGCCGCGGUAAUACGGGGGGGGGCAAGCGUUGUUCGGAAUUACUGGGCGUAAAGGGCUCGUAGGCGGCCAACUAAGUCAUACGUGAAAUCCCUCGGCUUAACCGGGGAACUGCGUCUGAUACUGGAUGGCUUGAGUUCGGGAGAGGGAUGCGGAAUUCCAGGUGUAGCGGUGAAAUGCGUAGAUAUCUGGAGGAACACCGGUGGCGAAGGCGGCAUCCUGGACCGAUACUGACGCU
rnacentral:rRNA from 1 species